GAGAGAGAGGGGGAGAGGAGAGAGAGAGAGAGAGAGAGAGAGAGAGAGAGAGGUCUAUGUGGGUAGGGGAGGAGAGAGAGAGGUUUUAAAAUCUGACCUGGCAAAUUACCAUUUUGCCCCUCAACUUAUUUUGAUCGUAAUUACCUCAAUACAACUCGGAUUUGACACCACUACAUGUCUACGGACUCGUUUCAUUGCGCUUUAUGCAACAAC
rnacentral:lncRNA from 1 species